UAGUUUCCUAUACAAUUUCACUAAACUAGGUAAUGAUUACAACAACAACAAAAACCCAGUAUAAUCCCACGUAGUGGGGUCUGAGGAGGGUAGUGUGUACGCAGACUUUACCCCUACCCUGGGGUAGAAAGGGUGUUUCCAAAUAGACCCCCGGCAUCCUUCCCUCCAAGAACUUCCCACCUUGCUCUUGGGGAGACUCGAACUCACAACCUCUCGGUUGGAAUUGUGGGUUGCUUACCAUCAAAGCAACCCCUCUUGUCUACCACAAGAUAUACAUUGUUCACAUAUAAAUCGUAAACGAAAAAUUGCAUGUCGUAUCAAACUCUAAAAGGACAUGAAAGAUCCAAUACAUAAAUUACUGUUACUCUAAACUAAAAAUUAUACACAUAUUUUCCAGACAUGCCAAAUAAAUAUCUAAACUAACUAAAAUACACCAAUGAAGAAAGGUAGAGAGGUUGUUUCAAAUAGACCCCCGGCAUCCUUCCCUCCAAGAACUUCCCACCUUGCUCGUGGGGAGACUCGAACUCACAACCUCUCGGUUGGAAGUGGGGAUUGCUUACCAUAGAGCAACCCCUCUUGUCUUAGGUAAUGAUUACAAUGAUGACAAAUUCAGAACUAGC
rnacentral:lncRNA from 1 species